rnacentral:rRNA from 1 species
GACGAACGUUGGCGGCGUGCUUAAUACAUGCAAGUCAACUGAAGCAGUGGUAGCAAUAUCGCUGUGGAGGUGGCGCACGGGUGAGUAACACGUAGGUAAUCUGCCUUCAGGUCUGGCAUAACUCCGGGAAACCGGGGCUAAUAGCAGAUGAUGCAGCGGCUCGACAUCGAGACAGUUGUUAAAGCUAUGGCGCCUGAAGAUGAGCCUGCGUCUGAUUAGCUAGUUGGCGGGGUAACGGCCCACCAAGGCAACGAUCAGUAGCUGGUCUGAGAGGAUGAUCAGCCACACUGGAACUGAGACACGGUCCAGACUCCUACGGGAGGCAGCAGUAAGGAAUAUUGCUCAAUGGGAGAAAUCCUGAAGCAGCAACGCCGCGUGAGGGACGAAGGGCUUUUGCUUGUAAACCUCUGUAGUGAGAGAAAAAAAUCCCAAUCUUUGGGACAUGAUGUUAUCUCAAAAGUAAGCCCCGGCUAACUACGUG